GAUGAAGAACGCAGCGAAAUGCGAUAAGUAAUGUGAAUUGCAGAAUUCCGUGAAUCAUCGAAUCUUUGAACGCACAUUGCGCCCCCUGGUAUUCCGGGGGGCAUGCCUGUCCGAGCGUCAUUGCAACCCUCAAGCGCGGCUUGUGUGUUGGGCUUCGUCCCCCCGUGGACGUGCCCGAAAGGCAGUGGCGGCGUCCCGAAUGGUGCCCGAGCGUAUGGGAACUCUCUUCCGCUCGAACCGGCCCAUUCGGCGCUGGUCGAACCCCAAUUUUUUACCGGUUGACCUCGGAUCAGGUAGGGAUACCCGCUGAACUUAAGCAUAUCAAUAAGCGGAGGA
rnacentral:misc_RNA from 1 species